AGAGGGUGAUAGAGGACCGCGGCAUCACAAUCCGUGCAUCAAAGAGAUAUGGACUGCUGCAUCACGGUCCAUGCAUCAAAGAUGAUCGAGAGGGAUAGAGAGGGAUAGAGCAGUGAUAGAGGACCACGACAUUAUGGUCCACCUCUCAACAUGGACUGCGACAUCGCAAUCCAUCCACUCUCUCUUCUGAUUGAUCUCGCAGUCCACGGUACACCACAAGAUCAAUCCUAUUAUAGAGAGAUGAUCUCUCUCUGUAACAGCGUGGUCACUAUGAAAUAUUAAUUUGACAUCUCAGUAAAGUUGAUAGUUCAUG
rnacentral:lncRNA from 1 species